CACGAACGCUGGCGGCGUGCUUAACACAUGCAAGUCGAACGAUGAACCCGGAGCUUGCUCCGGUGGAUUAGUGGCGAACGGGUGAGUAACACGUGAGUAACCUGCCUUUCAUUUUGGAAUAACUCCGGGAAACCGGGGCUAAAACCGAAUACUCCGUCUCGGCGGCAUCGCCGAGCCGGGAAAAAAUUUUGAUGAAAGAUGGUCUCGCGGCCUAUCAGCUAGUUGGUGAGGUAAUGGCUCACCAAGGCAACGACGGGUAGCCGGCCCGAGAGGGCGACCGGCCACACUGGGACUGAGACACGGCCCAGACUCCUACGGGAGGCAGCAGUGGGGAAUAUUGGGCAAUGGGCGCAAGCCUGACCCAGCGACGCCGCGUGAGGGAUGAAGGCCUUCGGGUUGUAAACCUCUUUCAGUAGGGAAGAAGCGAAAGUGACGGUACCUAAAGAAGAAGCACCGGCUAACUAUGUGCCAGCCGCCGCAGUAA
rnacentral:rRNA from 1 species